UGCAACAGUCCCAGCUCUCUGUUCGACUGCGAGUAACAACGCACUGAACUUCCGCGAUACUGGGGCUUCUCCAUGAGACAUCCAGGCCCACCAGAUCCUGGCUUUUUACUGAUAGUCUUUGCUUUAUCCCUGCCCCUCCAACACAGUCAGAGGUAGAAGACAAGUGCAUCCAUCGGAUGUUUUAGCAUUCCACGGUUUCUAAAUCCAUCACAAUGCCACCCGCGAGGUCAAUGUCAAAAACAUGAAUUGAAAGUUCUGCAUUAAGUUCCAAGAAGAAACAGCUCAUUGUUUGAACAGGGAUUCCACUAUCUGCAUCCUGAACCUAAAAGCUUGCUCCUCUGAACUGAAGAGAAGUGAACCAUGAAGAGACAGCAAAGGAGUCAACCCCAGGCCAGCCAUACUUGAGAGUCACAGGGUUUAUGGAAUGUUUGCCUAACAUACAGAAAGCCUCUCAAGAAUUGUUUUGUGAACAUGCUAGUUCCUUCUUGUUUAAGGUGGGAUAAAACUUUGUUAGUAUUUCUGUAUGGGAAGGAGGUCCAGCCUCAUAUUUGGUCACUGAAAAACUCUACUACCUUUCUGGUAUUUUCAGUAGUUCUCAAAUAAAUUCCUAACUCUUGUCCUUGUUGUAAGGCUAGAUCCUGGGACAAACAGAGAUAUCAAGAUGCAUAUGGGCCAUGUGGUGUCUUGAAUGAGAAUAGUUCACAUAGGUUCAUGUACUUGAAUAAUUUCUCUAAAGUUGGUAGAACUGUUUGGGAAGGAUUAGGAGGUGUGGGCUCAUUGGAAGAGGUAUGCUGCUGGGGGUGGGCUUUGUGGUUUCAAAAGUCUACAUCCUUCUAAGCUAUAUCCUGCGUCCUUGCCAAGUGUCAUUGUAUCUACAUGUAAGCUUUCAGCUACUUCUCCAGAGUAAUGCUUGCCUGCCUGCUGUCAUGCUCUCCAGCCUGAUGGUCUGAGACUCACCAUGGUAAGUAAGCCCCCAAUUAAAUGCUUUACUUUCUGAUUUCUUGGUCAUGGCGUUGUGUCACAGCAACAUAAAAGUAAUUAGGACAGGUCAUAAAGUGACAAAUAUUUUCAUUUUUACUUCAAGAACUGAGGUGGUAGGUGUUACAAAACCUGAAGCCUUCCUUCAUCGGAUCUACAUGAGCAGCUAUCAUUCUAGUUUUGGAACAAAACCAACAUAAAUGUGUCAAGCCUUUAUAAAAGAUGUGGUUUUAUGGUAGGCUUAUUCAAAAACAAUAGGUAAAUCAACAAGCUAUCCAAUUUGGAAUAAAAUGUGCAAGGUUCACUGACCUAAAGGAGUACAGAAAAUCUAUUGUCUGAACAGCAGCCUAAGUAGACAAAUGAAGGGGGCACAUAUUUCACUGGAGAGUGACACAGUGUGAGAAUAGGAACUGUCCUGUAGUUUAGAUUAAAGUGUAAUUUGAAUCUAAAAUUAAAAUUUGAUGAAGCCCUAUCAGUGGCUGGGGACUCAAAGAGUCAUAACUUAUAAGUGGUAAGAAUCAUUAGCUUCCUCACACAUACAAAUUAGAAAACUGAGAUCCACACAUUCUAUAACAAUGUGAUAGGUAGGGAAAUGUCUAAUUACCCACCCGUCUGUCUCUGUAAGUACUUUUAGUAGGAACGUUUCCUUAGGAAUGUAAUCUGAGGGAGAAAAUUAGCAAUUCUUACCACUAUGAUUUUAGACUUGGCUCUAUGACAUGUUUUGAUUGAUGGGAUAAGUGCCAAUCUGCUAGAUAUAUUAUAUGAGUAAACUAUAAUAAGAAAGAUGUGCUUCAAAAUAGCAGUGUUAAGAUAAAAUAAUAUGGAUGUAUAGGUUAAGAAUUUCCUGAGCAGACAAAACCUGUUCGGCCCUGGGAGCAAAACUCAUUGAGCUCUUGCAAAUGCCUGUUUCAAUCAUUCAUGACCCACCAACUAGUGUUACACAGAAAGCCAGGGUUCCCUUUUGAAUUCUUAUCCUUGUUAAUAAAAUAAUUUAGAAACGUACCAGGAAGAAAGCUCGAGGAUAUUUUUGUUACAUUCACGAAGGAAAUCAGCACGACAGGCAAGCUGCAUGGAAAUCUGAGCAACUGCAGGGAAAAGAGAAGUACAAAAAGAAAUAGAAAAGCGUGUGACUCUUGAGUUAGGAUCAAAGGAAACUGACAUGUUUAUCAAUGGAGUCAUCUAGCAGCUGCACAGAGGGUGGUGAGGUGAAGGAGACUUCCCGGAACUCAGGAGAAUGUCCAGUGUACCUAGGAACAUUUGCUUAGAAAGGGGAAGCUCUGAGAUUAGAACUCAUCGAGGUAGACUUAACAGUGAAGAUCCAAAAACUACUUGCAGGAAGAGUUGGGGGGAAGUACGAAAACAUUAUAUCAUUGAGGGGAUAGCAUUUCCAUCUGCUUAGCAUGUCUUCAAGUGAGUCAUGUUUCCAAUGGGGUGUUCUCCCAGCCAGGUGAUUAACUGACAAGGGAUGAAGCCAGGAUAUAUAAUGUUGAUCUUUGAAGCAAAUCAGAAUGUCACUUGUCUACUCAAGGCCAGAGGUAUACUCCAUUCUUUUGGCCAGGAUGUUCAAGAAAAGGUUAUUUGUGAUAUUUUCUUUUCUAGUGUUAUCAAUAUAAGGGGGGGUCCAAAGUAGACCAUAAGAGAUGGUUCCAUACUCAAUGGUUUCCAAGGCUACCAAUCCCUGCGUAUUAACUACAUAAUUGUGCCUCUCAAUGAUGCAAUAAAGCCGUCACCUUUCUUCACUCCCCUGCUGCUCGAUACCCUCAUUUGAAUAACCUGGCUGUGUGUGCAUUUACUCUCCCCUUCAUUUUGUACUCA